ACACACGAAUACAAAGAGCCAUACGACCUUCGGUUUCAGGUUUAGCUGUGUCUCCCAGUGACUAUAAUGACAAGGAAGCUGUAAAUGUAUUUGAGUUAAGUUUUUGCGAGAAAUGCCGGAAGGUCCUUCUGAAUCCCUUCCCUGUUCCUUAGGUUGCACUAGUCGGGGGUUCCAUGCUGGGGGGCAGAAGGAAUGCUCUCUACCCUCUGAAACCGUUCAUCAGGAAGGCCUUGAUUUGUGAUGUGCUAGGAGAGCACAGGAUCUGCAAAUAGAAGGCACCUGUCUUCCUUCUGCAGGCCGAGGAGAGGCCGCCAUGGACUGUGUGCUUCUUCAUGGCUUGUCUACUCUUCUUUCACAGACCCUACAGCUUGGGGCCUGGGCUCCUCUGACCAUCCUCAUUGAGAAAGGAAAGUGAGUCCAGAGAAGUCGAUGCUUCCUACCUGUUGGAGCGGCCCAGCAGUGAGGAAGUGGGUGACCUGAGGCAAGGGAAAGUGUCCAUCCCUGAUGAAGAUGGGGAAAGCCGGGCACAUAGUUCCCCACCUGAGGAGCCUGGGCCUCUCAAGGAAAGUCCCGGGGAAGCCU
rnacentral:sRNA from 1 species